rnacentral:lncRNA from 1 species
UGCAUUCAGCCUACCUCACUAGCAUACUAGUACAUUCAAUUGUACUGACGCAUUUGUGCUAUGGUGUCUUAUGCCAUAGGUUCAGAAGCACGAGCCCCAGAGUAUUAGUAGCAUUCCAGUUUCAAUAGUCAGAGUAAGCAGUGAGUCCUCAUCCUUUGAGGACAUGAUUAUUACUUUAUUUCUCAUUAUUAGUUUAUUUUAGUAGAUGGAGUUGGUUGGGGACAUAUCCCAUCAACUCCUUAUUCAGACAGUUCGAGGCUUUUCAGACUAUCAUGAUUAGAAAGUUAUUUUAGUUGUUUUGGGUAUUUCAUACCCCACCCAGAUGUUAUAUUUGAUC